CCUACGUGAGGUUGCAGUGGGGAAUAUUGGACAAUGGGCGAAAGCCUGAUCCAGCCAUGCCGCGUGUGUGAAGAAGGCCUUCGGGUUGUAAAGCACUUUCAGUGGGGAAGAAAGCCUUGGGGCUAAUACCCUCGAGGAAGGACAUCACCCACAGAAGAAGCACCGGCUAACUCCGUGCCAGCAGCCGCGGUAAUACGGAGGGUGCGAGCGUUAAUCGGAAUUACUGGGCGUAAAGCGCGCGUAGGCGGUCUGAUAAGCCGGUUGUGAAAGCCCCGGGCUCAACCUGGGAACGGCAUCCGGAACUGUCAGGCUAGAGUGCAGGAGAGGAAGGUAGAAUUCCCGGUGUAGCGGUGAAAUGCGUAGAGAUCGGGAGGAAUACCAGUGGCGAAGGCGGCCUUCUGGACUGACACUGACGCUGAGGUGCGAAAGCGUGGGUAGCAAACAGGAUUAGAUACCCGUGUAGUC
rnacentral:rRNA from 1 species